rnacentral:lncRNA from 1 species
UUCUUCGGACCCUUCAAUAUUUCUUCGAAAACGUCAAAUCAAAUCCGAUGGCCGAACAGAUCCGUGCCACCGUGAACAACUUCGCCGAUGACAUCUACAGCAUCGCCGGUUCGAUACUUUCGAAAGAAGAAGGGAGGGGAAUCUUUGAUUCCCCGUUUUUUCGGACCUUUCAAUAUUUCUUCGAAAAUGUCAAAUCAAAUCCAACGGCCAAACAGAUCCGUGCCACGGUCAACAACUUCGCCGACGACAUCUACAGCAUCGCCGG